UGAGAAGCAGCCAGGUUUGCCUCAUCUGCAAGCAGAAAGGUGAAGUGAAAACAAGAAAGAAAAGCGCAGGAGGCCUGGGUCUCCAGCACACAGAGGCACACAGCAGCAAGACCACAGCCGCUGAUGGCCAGGGAAAGAUCUCCACCACGUGCAGCGGCGGGGCACAGGUUGGGCACCCCGUGCUUGGACAUACACCGGCCACGCAACCGGCUCCUGCACACACACGUCACACACGACGAGAUCCCGGGAUCUUCUCGGCUCCGGGAAGUGCUGAGGAAUGCACGUCCGGGGCCAAGGAAAUGCAAACGCAGCCUCCCUUCUUGCAGAAAAGGAAGAGAAAACACAGCACCUCCCUCCAGCACACCCUGGGUUCGCGCCGAGCUGAGUCACCUGCAGCUGCUGUCUCCGCCUGGUCCCACCUGCUCCCAGUUCCUCCUCUUUCUCCUUGGCUUCCUCUCCCCAGCUGNNNNNNNNNNNNNNNNNNNNNNNNCCCCCCCCCCCCGCGCGGUGGAGUCCGCCCAUUCAGGUCAGUUUUGUUCACAUCUGUUAACUAAACCCCAAGCCGCAAGAACUUAUUGUUUGUUCAUCACCUUAAAAAUACAGCCUCAGGGCCAGGGAUAUGGCUUAGCAGUGCCUGCACCUGCUUAAAGUGAAAGGUCCUGAGCUCGAUCCCCAGUUGUGGGGGAGGGUACAACCUCGCACGAUGGCGCACACCUGUAACCCCAGCACUUGGGAGGCUGAGGCAGGAGGAUGGCAAGUUUGAGCCCAGGAUGGACAAUUGAGAGACUUAUCUGAGACCCUGCCUCAAAAUAAAAAAUUAACCAAGACUUGUCAUGUAGAGGUACAAGAUCCCAACAAUGAACGUAACUGUACUGUAUCCCUAAAAUGUACCAAUAAACUCC
rnacentral:lncRNA from 1 species